UACGUAGGGGGCGAGCGUUGUCCGGAUUUAUUGGGCGUAAAGAGCGUGUAGGCGGCCAGGUAGGUCCGUUGUGAAAACUCGAGGCUCAACCUCGAGACGUCGAUGGAAACCAUCUGGCUAGAGUCCGGAAGAGGAGAGUGGAAUUCCUGGUGUAGCGGUGAAAUGCGCAGAUAUCAGGAAGAACACCUAUGGCGAAGGCAGCUCUCUGGGACGGUACUGACGCUGGGACGCGAAAGCGUGGGGAGCGAACAGG
rnacentral:rRNA from 1 species